rnacentral:rRNA from 1 species
UGGGGGGGAGCGGGAAUGAGGACAGGGCAAUGUUAAGAAAAAAAAAAGAAAAAAAAGAACUGCGAUGGCUCAUUAACUUUUAUUGUUUAUUUGAUAUAUUAAAUGGAUACUGUAGAAAAACUAGAGCUAAUACAUGCCGAAGCCGCAAGGUUGUAUUUAUUAGAUAUUCCAAUUAGGUGAAUCAUGAUAACUUUGUCAAAUCUUCGGUUUUGCCGAGAUAAAUCAUCCAAGUUUCUGCCCUAUCAUGCUUUCGAUGGUAGUGUAUUGGACUACCAAGGACCACACGGGUAACAGGGAAUUAGGGUUCUAUUCUGGAGAAGGAGCCUGAGACACGCGCUACUACAUCUACGGAAGGCAGCAGGCGCGUAAAUUACCCAAUCCUGACUCAGGGAGGUGGUGACAAGAUAUAACAACGCAAUUUAAUUGUGAUUGUAGUGAGGGUUUUCCAACCGACCACUAGUACGGUUAGAGGGCAAGUCUGGUGCCAGCAGCCGCGGUAAUUCCAGCUCUAAUAGCGUAUAUAAAGUUGCUGCAGUUAAAAGCUCGUAGUUGGAUUUCAAGGAUUGGGUCUCCUUCUAGGUAUGCACCUACUAGUCUUGACUGUUACUGGGGGAAAAUUAAAAUGUUAGCAGCACUGCAGAAUCAUACCAUGAACGAUGUCUGAACUUGUUAUCUCAGUUCCAUAUAAACACGUUGGGGCUUAUUUUAUUAUUGCCAGAGAACACUCCGA